GAGUCGGUAGCUCAGUGGUAGAGUGCCUGCUUUGUAUGUAUGAUGUCUUGGGUUCAAUCCCAAGCUUCUGCC
rnacentral:tRNA from 1 species